AGACUAACCAGGAUUCCCUUGGUAACGGCGAGUGAAGAGGGAAGAGCCCAGCACCGAAGCCUGCGGUAGUUUUGCUGUUAGGCAAUGUGGUGUGUGGGUCGGCUCGCGGGACCAUCACUCCACUCGAAGUCCAGCAUUGAGUAUGGCAAUCACUGGAUUUGGCCCAUAGAGGGUGAGAGGCCCGUACGGGUGGAGGUUCAGACAUGUACGAUGGUUCACCAGGCCGGCCUCAGAGUCGGGUUGUUUGAGAUUGCAGCCCAAAGAGGGUGGUAAACUCCAUCCAAGGCUAAAUACUGCCACGAGUCCGAUAGCGAACAAGUACCAUGAGGGAAAGUUGAAAAGUACUCUGAAGAGAGAGUAAACAGUACGUGAAGCCGCAUGCAGGUAAACGGGUGGCGUCAAGCUGCGAGCCCGGAGGAUUCAGCUGACUGGGAUGUAGUGCACGCGCGCCUGGUGCGUCGAGAGGCCGGAGUAAGAUGUGGCGGUCCACUCCUCUGCUGGGAGUGGAGUGCGGUCGGUGUGCGCUUGCGUAUGCCGGUUGUCGCUAUGCAUGCCGGGUGGGUGCCGGAGCAUGCCGCUCGUCUGUUGGGCCACCUAGUUAGUGCAUUUUCUCCGUGGUGAACACCACGACCGGUGGAACUGCCAGUCUGCUGUGAUCAAGUCGUGUUCUCCUGGCGCGUUGCUGUGUUGGGUGGGCACGAUCGCAGACGGAGUCGGUGGACGGCGCAGUGGUGCUUCGGUACUGCCGCGUGUUAUCGUGCACUCUCCGUCGUAAGCGGUUAGUGGGGUUGACUAAGUGCUGUGACCUACUUUCCCGCUAGCCGGCGGAUCACAGUGGUGAAAGGGACUGUGCAGGGCACCGGAGUUGUCCAUCUCAUUCAAUAUGGUACUCGGCACGCACGUUACAGGUGUUAUAUACAAUCGGGAUGCGCCGCUGUCUGCCUGGUGUUGGGCCUGACUGUCGUGUUGCCUGCGAAAAGUGGGUCCGGCAGUGGUUUCGAUGCUUGGUAGUCGCAGUGUGUUGCGUAUCUCGGGUGUCUGUGGUACCGGGGAUGAAAUAGUCAGUGGUGCUGUGGUAGAC
rnacentral:rRNA from 1 species